GAUGAACGCUGACAGAAUGCUUAACACAUGCAAGUCGAUGGGGAAGUGGUGCUUGCACCAUGGUAACCAUGGCGGACGGGUGAGUAACGCGUAAGGAACUUGCCUGCGGGACUGGGAUAACAGCAGGAAACUGCUGUUAAUAUCGGAUAAGGUCAUUAAGCUGCAUAGCUUAGUGAUGAAAGGGGACGCCUGCGGAGAGCCUUGCGUCCUAUUAGCUAGUUGGAGGGGUAACGGCCCACCAAGGCGAAGAUAGGUAGCCGGCCUGAGAGGGUGGACGGCCACAAGGGGACUGAGAUACGGCCGUUACGCAUACGGGAGGCAGGAGUGGGGAAUAUUGGACAAUGGGGGCAACCCUGAUCCAGCAAUUCGGUGUGCACGAAGACGGUUUUCGGAGUGUAAAGUGCUUUCAGCAGGGAAGAAGGAAGUGACGGUACCAGCAGAAGAAGCGACGGCUAAAUACGUG
rnacentral:rRNA from 1 species